AUGGAGCAACCCAAGGCAGGAGACGGCGCUCCGCAGCAGCGCCAGAAGAAAUCCUCCGCUGCCAAGAAGGCGAAGAAGGGCGACAGCGGCGGGGCACGGCCAGCGAUAAAGCCCAAGAAGGACCUCCAGGUCAAUCGCCUCAAUGGCUCCCAGCUCCUCACCGUAAGCCAAUCAAUCCCCCUUUUGGAUUUGACCGCAAUUAGCAUAGGGACCUUGCCACAUGCCCGCAUCUAG
rnacentral:rRNA from 1 species